GAAGAGCCAGCUCUCAGGAAUCCAAGUUCUGAGGGAGAUCAGGGGUCCCAAAGCAUGGCUUGCAAGAGGGGGGCAAAACUUAAUAGCUAAUAGUAAGUGCAACUGAAAGGGGAAUUUGUGAGCCAUGACAGGUGGUGGUCAUACCUAGCCACAAAACAGGCUGGCACACCCCUGACCACCCGCUUGAUCAAACAAAUUAGGAGCAGACCUUUGGAGGCCAGACCACGGUUUGGACAGUGAUUAGGACAUUGCCAGACCCAAGUCUAAGGCUCAAAAACACAUAAAGGGGGAAGGGAAUAAGGACUGAUUGAAUUUGAGAUUCAAGGAAUGCAGCAGAAGCAUGGACAACAAUAUAAAGGGGUAGGGGUAAAGGG
rnacentral:lncRNA from 1 species